CUGAUCCUCCUUUUAUCAAUGAGACAAUUGAUCUCAAUGACGAAACAAUCAGCCUAACGUGCAUAGCUGUUGCCUAUCCUGCCACAACAAAUGAGUGGUAUUACAAUGGACAGCUGGUUGAGAAUAGCCCGGAGGUGCUCAUUCGGAAAAUCAUCCCAGAGAAUUCUGGGUAUUAUUCUUGUCGAGCAAUGAAUCCCACAUCUAAGAAGACAGGCGAGACCACUCUGGAGGUUGACAUGAUAGGAAAACUAAGAAGCUUAAGACGCCGUUGAGGGACCUGUUUCUACUCUCUGAUUUCUGAAACAAGCUGAAGCUUCAUCUGUUUUUACAUCAUUUUAAAUUUUGAUUUUUUUUUGAAAAAACUAUCUACAUUGAAGCCACCUUGUAGACUCCCUCGGGGCUCACCCCUGCCUCUCCAUUACAAGAAUGGAUCAUAUCAACACCCAUUUAUCAUUUGGCUUUCCCUAAUGAAAGAAUGUAGUGCAGUUCUUCAGAUGGAUUGAGAGCAGUAGAGAAAUUAGCACUCAAUAAAUCAUUCUCUUUGGC